CCCGCUGAACUUAAGCAUAUCAUUAAGCGGAGGAAAAGAAAAUAACUAUGAUUACCUCAGUAGCGGCGAGCGAAGCGGUAAGAGCCCAAAUUGGAAAUCCAAGCAAUUGGAAUUGUAAUCUAAAGACUGACUCCAAUCUCCGCCUCGAAGCCUAAGUGCCUUGGAACAGGCCGCCAAAGAAGGUGAUAGCCCUGUGCGGGUUCGAGCGAGAAGUAGGAUGAGGAUCGAAGAGUCGUGUUGCCUGGAAUCGCAGCACUAAAUGGGAGAUAAACUUCUUCUAAGGCUAAAUAACUAUGGGAGACCGAUAGCGUACAAGUACUGUGAAGGAAAGAUGAAAAGAACUUUGAAAAGAGAGUUAACAGACCUGAAACUGUUGAGAAGGAAGCGGUAGAAGAUUAUUAUUCGGCUUUGGGCUAACUGACGGGCGUAAACAUCCGGGGCGUAGGUUACUGUUAAAAGGGCCUUGUUUCGUAUGGUAUUCUCUAGGGUGCCCUUUGUUGAUAGGCAAGAUGGGCUCGAUCGCAUCAAAUCCUACUUAUAGCUCGGAGGUUUACUUCCACUGUAGGCAAGGCUGUUGCGAUUGUAGUCGAGGGGCUUCGGCGAUCUUGUCAAAAUGUCUUUUACUGUCCCGUCUUGAAACACGG
rnacentral:rRNA from 1 species